UACCAGUCCCUUCAACCCACAGCCAGGAGCUAGGCAAACACCCACAGAGGAGGGAGGACACACUUUAACCCUACAUUCAGCUUGACGAGCCAAACUCUCUGAACCACAGGAGAUAAAACUUCUGCCAUGGAACUGCUAAGGUAGAUAAUCAGCAACCCCCCAAGACUGUGCCUGCUGCACAACUACAGAACGCAGUGGAAGACACGCUGAAUUCUGAGUCAGAAGGUUGACUUUCUAGCUGUGGGGACUUGGCCAAACCUCCUCAGAGCUUCAGUUUUCUCAUCUGUAAAAUAGAGAUCUUAAUCCCUACCAAUCUCACAGGACUGCUGAGAGUAUCAGAUGAGAUUCUCAAAGCAAUCCUGUAUGGUGAGAAUUAUUUUUAUUUUACCGACAAAGCUGCUGAAGAUCAGAGACAUUGAGUUACUCAUAGAAGAUAUACAGACAGAGCCAAGAUUCAAAUCCCUUGGGUGUCUGGCUCCAAAGUGGAAAUUUUCUCCACGGUGCCAAAGGACUCAUAAACAGAAUGUACAAAGGACUCUUACAAAUCAGUAAUAAAAGGACAAUCAAUGUUUUUAAACAAGCAGAAGACUUCGAUAAACACCACAUAAAAGAGAAUGCAUGCAUGGCCAAUGAGAACAUAAAAAAGAUGCUCAGCGUUGUUGGUCGUCAGGGAAGUGCAGAUUGAAAAUGCAAUGGGAUACCACUACACACCCGCCAGAAUGGUUAAAAUUUAAAAAUUUUAACAGUACCAAAUGUUAGAGAGGCUGUGAAGCAGCAGGAUGUUUUAUGCAUGGCCAGCAAAAGUAUAAAAUGGUAGAGCCAUUUGGAAAACUGGCAUUUUCUCAUAAAUAUUCACCUAUCAUGUGAUCUAAAAAUUCCAAAAGAAAUGAAACUAUAUGUCUAC
rnacentral:lncRNA from 1 species